rnacentral:rRNA from 1 species
GAAAUUUUUAACGGCCGCAGUACCUUGACUGUGCAAAGGUAGCAUAAUCAUUUGACUUUUAAAUGAAGCCUGGAAUGAAAGAAAGAACGUAGACAAAUUGUCUCAUUAGCACUGUUUUUAACUUUCUGUAGGAGUGAAAAUACUCUUAAUUUUUAAAAAUAGACGAGAAGACCCUUAGAAUUUUUAAAAUAUAUAAGUAGAAUCUUGUAAAUUUUUUUGUUGGGGCAACAAUAUUUCAUAUAAAUAAAUAUUUUACUUUAAUGAUGGUCGAUUAAAUAAUUAUAGUAAAAUUACCUAAGGGAUAACAGCAUAAUUUUAGAAAU